rnacentral:tRNA from 1 species
GCCUUCGUGAUGUAAUGGUUAGCACACUGAGCCGGUAUUUCAGAGGUCCGUGGUUCGAUUCCCGGCGAAGGAA